ACGAACGCUGGCGGCGUGCCUAAUACAUGCAAGUAGAACGCUGAAGGAGGAGCUUGCUCUUCUGGAUGAGUUGCGAACGGGUGAGUAACGCGUAGGUAACCUGCCUGUUAGCGGGGGAUAACUAUUGGAAACGAUAGCUAAUACCGCAUAACAGUAGAUGUUGCAUGACAUUUGCUUAAAAGGUGCAAUUGCACCACUACCAGAUGGACCUGCGUUGUAUUAGCUAGUUGGUGGGGUAACGGCUCACCAAGGCGACGAUACAUAGCCGACCUGAGAGGGUGAUCGGCCACACUGGGACUGAGACACGGCCCAGACUCCUACGGGAGGCAGCAGUAGGGAAUCUUCGGCAAUAGACGGAAGGCUGACCGAGCAACGCCGCGUGAGUGAAGAAGGUUGUCGGAUCGUAAAGCUAUGUUGUAAGAGAAGAACGAGUGUGAGAGUGGAAAGUUCACACUGUGACGGUAUCUUACCAGAAAGGGACGGCUAACUACGUG
rnacentral:rRNA from 1 species